rnacentral:rRNA from 1 species
GACGGGCUUAACAUGCANUCGAACGAUGAUGCCCAUAUGGGGUGGGCGAGAUCAGGUGGAACAAGGGUGAUGAGAUCACACGUUGGUGUACCUGUGCCCUCACAUCUCGGGGGAUAAGCCGUUGAAAAACGGAGGUCUAAUACUGGAUAUGAGAUGCCCCUGCGUGGGGAGUGUCUGGAAAUAUUUAUCGUUCGGGGAUGGACUCGCGCCCUAUCAUCUUGUUGGGGGGAAUAGUGCCCUACCAGGGACACCACGGGUACCCGGUCUGAGAGGGACACCGGCCACUCUGGGACUGACACACGCCCCACACUCCUACGGGAGGCAGCAGGGGAAAAUAUUGCACAGUGGGCAAACGCCUGAUGCAGCCACCCCGCGUGAGGGAAGAACGCCUUCGGGUUGAACACCUCUUUCAGCGGGAAAAACGCACAUGUGACGGCCCCUGCAAAAAAAGCCCCGGAUAACUACGUGCCAGCCCCCGCGAUAAUACAUAGGGCACACGCGUUCUCCAAAAUUAUUGCGCAAAAAGAUCUCAUACGCUUUUUGUCGCCUCUGGUGAAAAAACUCGGGGCUCAUCCUUAACCUUGCAUCGGACACGGGCACACUAGAGUGCUGUAGGAGAGACUGAAACUCCUGGUGUAGCGGAGAAAUGCACAUAUAUCAAGAAGAACACCGAUGGAAAGCGCGGGUCUCUGGGCCACAUCUGACUCUGAAGAGCAAACGCGUGGAGAGCAAACAAGAUUAUACCCCCUGGUACUCCGUGCCAAACACGUUGGACACUAUGUGUGGGGCUCUUUCCACGAUUUCCGCGCCACAUCACACAUAUUAAGUGCCCCGCCUGG